rfam:Puccinia sorghi strain RO10H11247 Scaffold_473, whole genome shotgun sequence.
GCCCGGUUAGCUCAGUCGGUAGAGCAUUCGGCUUUUACGCAACCCCAAAUUCGAUCGACAGACGUUCCCCCAGGAUGGCUCGAACUCGGGGUCAUGUGUCACCGAAAUGUCGGGGGUUCGAGCCCCCCAUUGGGCG